rnacentral:rRNA from 1 species
UGCAGUCGAACGCAGUAGCAAUACUGAGUGGCAAACGGGUGAGUAUAAUGUGGGAAUCUGCCUUUUGGUUCGGAAUAACACGAGGAAACUUGUGCUAAUACCGGAUAAGCCCUUACGGGGAAAGUUUUAAUGCCAAAAGAUGAGCCCGCACUUGAUUAGCUAGUUGGUAAGGUAAAAGCUUACCAAGGCAACGAUCAAUAGCUGUUCUUAGAGGAAGACCAGCCACAUUGGGACUGAGACACGGCCCAGACUCCUACGGGAGGCAGCAGUGGGGAAUCUUGCACAAUGGGGGAAACCCUGAUGCAGCGAUGCCGCGUGAGUGAAGAAGGCCCUUGGGUUGUAAAACUCUUUCGUCGGGGAAGAAAAUGACUGUACCCGAAUAAGAAGGUCCGGCUAACUUCGUGCCAGCAGCCGCGGUAAUACGAAGGGACCUAGCGUAGUUCGGAAUUACUGGGCUUAAAGAGCUCGUAGGUGGUUAAAAAAGUUGAUGGUGAAAUCCCAAGGCUCAACCUUGGAACUGCCAUCAAAACUUUUU